rnacentral:lncRNA from 1 species
CCCCUUGGCAGGCGGCACCCCAGGGCCUGCGCUGGGUUUUGGUCUGCAUGCGCUCCCCACCCAGAGAAGACUUAUGGCUGGUGGCUCCUCUCACCCCUGAGGCUUCAUGCUUCUCCUGUGUUAUGCAAAGUCCCCACAACAGCAGACAGAGCAGGAGCCUGCACUGCGUUACCUCAGCCCAUUUCCAAGAAGCCCCAUGAGAUCAGGGCUCAGCGCAUUUACUCCGUGCAGCGUGAGGGUGCCUGUGAGAAGGAGAAGCUCACAGGAAGAUUUUUAGAAGGAAGAGCACGCCUAAAAACAGACACACCAGGAGCCGUGGCUUUCCCUGGUGGGCACUUCUGUGGCAGCCCGGAUCCCCCAACACAGCCCAUCUGCCACCAACACAGAUUCCGAAAAGAAGCACGUGGUCUAGACCUCGGGUUGCUCAGUGGAAGACACUGUGGUGAUCUUCGUGCCGUCUAACAAGAAGCACCUCCCGUCGCCCUGGAUCCAGCAAGAGACCCUGUCGUUAGCCAUGGGGAGCGCAGAGGAAACUCAGGGCUUCCAGCAAGGAGCACCUCCAUAGCCUAGGUCCCUGAACAAGGAUUGCCUGUCAUUCUUCCUGAAACCCCAACAAGAAACACCUCAGGCCACUGGGUCCCCCAACAGGAGUCACCUCUCAUAGCCGUGGCUCCCCUGAGGAAAAAGUGCCUGUUCUUGGCUGCUGGGUCCAUGGCCAGUUUCAGCAAAUGCCGCUCUGUGGGCCCGGGGCCUCCUGGGUUUCUGCAGAGGCAGGAGGGCUGGUUCCCACCGCCGCACCCCAUUUAUUGCUCCCAGCCACGUGCAGCCUUGCCCAGAUGGCUGCCAGGAUGUGUGUGGCGCAGCCUGGAGCCGUCCCUCUGAUUCGGAGCCUGGGUGGUCAGUGGCUUUCCCAGGCAGUGCUGUGGCCUGGGGCCAGGACGGAGCGGUGAGGGGAGGCUCCCUGGGUUGUGGAGGGAGCGGC